CGGGCAUUUUCCAUCGUAUUAUAUACAAAGACAUAAAUUCGAAGGAAAGUUAUAAAUAUUACCGAUGCUAAACUUAUCUCAUCAGUUUACUUUCGAAAGUAAGACACGUGACGUUUUCGACGUCAUUUCCGCGAAUCUUAUAGCCCCACCAAGUCGGGACGUAGAGGGGUGAAAGGUCGUGUGCUUAUCCAAACCAAUCUAGAUGGCAGAUAGCAGAACCUGAUGGGUUUUUCUUUUUAUGCUGGUCUGCACCUUGCCCUGUGGUAAUGCGAGAAUAUGAAAACCUCUUUUGACAAUUUCCAGAACCGUAGGCCGUAUCGUUUGCACGCGACAUAAGUUUAAAAAUAUUAUAGACUCUCUCUAAGUAUUAAUUAUGGUAUUGUGGGGACAUGAACUAUUUAAUAAUAAUAAUAAUUAAAAAUAUAAUAAAAUUUAAACUGGUUUCAUUCCAAUUAAAAGUUUCGUAUGACCUGUAAUUUUUCUUCCAUAAACUAAUUUGGAUUUAAUAUCAAUUCUACUUUACAGGAUUUUGAGUAGGAAAUUUCAAUAACCAGUCUCUAGAGAGAGAGAAAUCAACUGGAAGCAAAAUAUCCCAUUUUUAUAAUGUUAUAAAAGAGUGGAAAAAUAAGAAAAUAAUUCCAUUUACAUCGAUAGGUUUCCUUAUCAUCAAUAAACAUAUUAUAGUUCUUCUUCCGUUCGAUAAGCUAUAAAUCGAAUUAUUUUUCGAGUAAUCUUCUUUUACUGGAAUUCUUGACCAUUCUUGAAACCUAGGCUAUAAGCUUUCCAAGAAAAAUUUCCCCUAAUGUUCUAAAAACUCCCCUUUCUAAAGUCUUAGAGAGCCUCACAAGAGCAAUUCCAGUUAGUUGAAACCCCUUUUCGGGAAUAUCACAAAGGUACUUAAGUUCCAGUUAGUGGAAACCCCUUUUUGAAGGACACCCGGCCAGGAUAUUUGAGUUGCAGUAGUAUCAGGAAAACUUGUAAUUUUAAUAUAUUAAAAUAGUUUUUAAGCCGUAAAUGAAUGAUAAAUGUCUUCCGCACGAUCAGCAUCAGUUAUCGAUAAUUUAAAGUCGCAGUUUAUUUAGAAUAUUAGCUUAGGAACUGGGAUUAGAACAUAAUAGGAAAUUGUCGCCAUGUGAUUUGCUGACUUACAGCUCUGUUUUAUUCAAGUUAAAGGGUAAUGUCCUUUGCACCUACUCAUUCCUGAGUUUAGCUUCCAACUUAAACAAUGUCGAAUUCACUCGAAGGUUUGGCAACGCGCUGCAAACGAGAGAGACUUCCAGUUUCAAUUUUGCCGAGAAAAUUCCUUCCUAUUUUUUUUUAUCUAUGAUAACUUAUCGAAUUUAUUCUUUCAGAAACGGUAUUCGAAAUAUGAAAAACGAAAGUAUAAAUAAUCCGGAAAAAAAGUGCCCAUAUCGAGAAUUGAUAAAUGGAAAGUUAGUUAGACUAAUUCUCAAAACUGAACAGGAAAGUGCGAUAAAAAUCCAGGAAACUUUUCUUGUACAAGGUGUGUUUAAGCGGAAUAUUUCAUAUCUCUCAUAAAAUUAAGAAAGUAAAAAAAAAAAAAAGAAAAAAUUAACUGCAUGGAAAAUUAAUUACCC
rnacentral:lncRNA from 1 species